rnacentral:rRNA from 1 species
GACGAACGCUGGCGGCGUGCUUAACACAUGCAAGUCGAACGAAGUGGCGAACGGGUGAGUAACGCGUAAUCAACCUGCCCUUCAGAGGGGGACAACAGUUGGAAACGACUGCAAAUACCGCAUACUUCCGUCGGGGAUUGCGUCGGAUUAGCUAGUUGGAGGGGUAACGGCCCACCAAGGCGAUGAUCAGUAGACGGGCGGAGAGGAUGAAGGGACACAGUGGGACUGAGACACGGCCCAGACUCAUACGGGAGGCAGCAGGGGGGAAGCUGCCGCAAUGGACGAAAGUCUGACGGAGCAACGCCGCGUGAGUGAGGACGGCCUUCGGGUUGUAAAGCUCGGGUAAUCGGGACGAGGUACCGGAAUAGAAAGCCACGGCUAACUACGUGCCAGCAGGCGCGGUAAUAA